rnacentral:tmRNA from 1 species
GGGGUCGCCUGGUUUUGACAGCAUAGGGUCUUUGAUAGUGUAAGCAUGUCGUGCGUUGUGUAAUUAGCACGUUAAUCUGAAUGCUCAAACUUCAAAUGGCGAAAAUAACUACGCCAUGGCUGCCUAAUCAGAGAUUAGACAUCCAUUAUAGCCGCCGAUAACUACCGCCUGUUGUAGUGUCCGCCGCCGAAUCAUCAAAAAAAACGGGAUAGGUAUUUAUGGUUUCUGUGAGUAAAUACCGAAGCUCAAACGGAUAAGGACGAGGUUGGUUUGUUGUGCCCCUGCUGAGUCUCGAAAAAUCAAUGCGCAAAUAAGCAUGUAGAAAGCUAUUGGAGAAUAUGUUUGGACGCGGGUUCGAUUCCCGCCGACUCCACUA